UAGAACUGAACGCCACGGUGUUAUCGCCGAGACAGAGCUGUUCUCUCCGGUGUUGUUGCCGGUCUUUUGAUCUGUAUAUCUCGGGGUUAUCUCCGAGAUUGGAAAUGACAUGCCUGAUGUGUGUUCCGGGUUUGGAUCCGAAGCUCCCGAUUUGUGUUCCGGGUUGGAGCUGACCUUCUGGUAGUAUCCAGAAUGGCUUGUAUGUUGUCUUUCAGGGUUAUCUCUAAAAGACGAAUCUACCCUCCUGCAAUGUUAGUAAUAAGAGUGCAGAAAAUUUCGAGUGUCUACACACGUUUCCGCUUAUUUUAUGCAAUUUGAUUGCGUUCAUGAAUAUUACAAACCUAACAGUGGUAUCAGAGCCAAACCUUUAUGCGAAUUAUUAAUUGUUUUAAUUUAAUAUGUAUAUUGAUAUGUGUUUAGAACAAUUUAAUUAAGCAUAAUUUUAUUGUAUAAAAUUAAAAAAAAAACGUGAUGAUUUAUUCGCGAAAUCCGUUACUGUUUAUUCUUCAAAACAUUUAUCCUGAUGCUCAUGAUUCAGGUUAACUGUAUAUAUGUGGUUUUGUUUUUAGCUUUAGUAAUCAUGCAAAAAGUAAAGGGAUUCAAGAGCUUGGUUUUUGAAAAGUUACAGGAAUCCUACUAAUAUGUCACGUGAAUCCCACCGAAUCUUCAAGGAUUACAGGA
rnacentral:lncRNA from 1 species